rnacentral:rRNA from 1 species
UACGUAGGGGGCGAGCGUUGUCCGGAAUUACUGGGCGUAAAGGGCGUGUAGGCGGCCAGAUAAGUCAGAUGUGAAAUCCCAAGGCUUAACCUUGGAGUUGCAUUUGAAACUGUAGGGCUUGAGGGCAGGGGAGGGAAGCGGAAUUCCCAGUGUAGCGGUGAAAUGCGUAGAUAUUGGGAGGAACACCAGUGGCGAAGGCGGCUUCCUGGACUGCACCUGACGCUGAGGCGCGAAAGCUAGGGGAGCGAACGGGAUUAGAUACCCCGGUAGUCCUAGCCGUAAACGAUGGGUACUAGGUGUGGGAGGUAUCGACCCCUUCCGUGCCGCAGUUAACGCAAUAAGUACCCCGCCUGGGGAGUACGGCCGCAAGGUUGAA